UACAGAGGUCCCAAGCGUUGUUCGGAUUCACUGGGCGUAAAGGGUGCGUAGGUGGUCGGGUAAGUCUGAUGUGAAAGCUCUGGGCUCAACCCAGAAAUGGCAUUGGAUACUAUUCGGCUAGAGGAGUGGAGGGGGGACUGGAAUACUUGGUGUAGCAGUGAAAUGCGUAGAUAUCAAGUGGAACACCAGUGGCGAAGGCGAGUCCCUGGACACUUCCUGACACUGAGGCACGAAAGCUAGGGGAGCAAACAGG
rnacentral:rRNA from 1 species